GGGGGGGCUACCAUGCAGUCGACGAUGAAGCCUUUCGGGGUGGAUUAGUGGCGAACGGGUGAGUAACACGUGGGCAAUCUGCCCUUCACUCUGGGACAAGCCCUGGAAACGGGGUCUAAUACCGGAUAACACUCUGUCCCGCAUGGGACGGGGUUAAAAGCUCCGGCGGUGAAGGAUGAGCCCGCGGCCUAUCAGCUUGUUGGUGGGGUAAUGGCCUACCAAGGCGACGACGGGUAGCCGGCCUGAGAGGGCGACCGGCCACACUGGGACUGAGACACGGCCCAGACUCCUACGGGAGGCAGCAGUGGGGAAUAUUGCACAAUGGGCGAAAGCCUGAUGCAGCGACGCCGCGUGAGGGAUGACGGCCUUCGGGUUGUAAACCUCUUUCAGCAGGGAAGAAGCGAAAGUGACGGUACCUGCAGAAGAAGCGCCGGCUAACUACGUGCCAGCAGCCGCGGUAAUACGUAGGGCGCAAGCGUUGUCCGGAAUUAUUGGGCGUAAAGAGCUCGUAGGCGGCUUGUCACGUCGGAUGUGAAAGCCCGGGGCUUAACCCCGGGUCUGCAUUCGAUACGGGCUAGCUAGAGUGUGGUAGGGGAGAUCGGAAUUCCUGGUGUAGCGGUGAAAUGCGCAGAUAUCAGGAGGAACACCGGUGGCGAAGGCGGAUCUCUGGGCCAUUACUGACGCUGAGGAGCGAAAGCGUGGGGAGCGAACAGGAUUAGAUACCCUGGUAGUCCACGCCGUAAACGUUGGGAACUAGGUGUUGGCGACAUUCCACGUCGUCGGUGCCGCAGCUAACGCAUUAAGUUCCCCGCCUGGGGAGUACGGCCGCAAA
rnacentral:rRNA from 1 species